rnacentral:ncRNA from 1 species
CUCUGCCCCUAUGUCAAGAAGCCUUACGGUUACGACCGCAAGGACAGUACAAACAGGGUUAAAGGGGUUAUUUUCCGUUCCUGUAGACAGGAAAAAGAUUGAAUUGCUGUAAAGACAGUUAGUAAGCGUAAGCCGAAAAGAAAUAUAUUUG